rnacentral:rRNA from 1 species
GAUGAACGCUGGCGGCGUGCCUAAUACAUGCAAGUCGAGCGAACAGACGAGGAGCUUGCUCCUCUGACGUUAGCGGCGGACGGGUGAGUAACACGUGGAUAACCUACCUAUAAGACUGGGAUAACUUCGGGAAACCGGAGCUAAUACCGGAUAAUAUAUUGAACCGCAUGGUUCAAUAGUGAAAGACGGUUUUGCUGUCACUUAUAGAUGGAUCCGCGCCGCAUUAGCUAGUUGGUAAGGUAACGGCUUACCAAGGCAACGAUGCGUAGCCGACCUGAGAGGGUGAUCGGCCACACUGGAACUGAGACACGGUCCAGACUCCUACGGGAGGCAGCAGUAGGGAAUCUUCCGCAAUGGGCGAAAGCCUGACGGAGCAACGUCGCGUGAGUGAUGAAGGUCUUCGGAUCGUAAAACUCUGUUAUUAGGGAAGAACAAAUGUGUAAGUAACUAUGCACGUCUUGACGGUACCUAAUCAGAAAGCCUCGGCUAACUACGUG